CCUCGCUCUCCUCAGCAAUCGAAUCGUCGUCGUCGAUGUCGCUUCCAUCCGUCAGAGGUAAUUGAUCCGAAGUUUUGAAAUUGCUCGACUCUUCUUUUUCUUCUGCAUCUUCCUCCUCAUUCACCUUUUGCUUCUUCACCGAUGGCUCAUAAUCUGAUUGGCUUGAGUAUUCUGAUUCGCUUUCCUUUUCACCUUUCUGAUGGCAGCGGUGGCUUUUCACCUUCUGAUGGUGGUGGUAAUGGCGGCGGCGGCUGUGACAACAAAUUGACAAAACCCUAGCAUCACAAAUUUGGGUAUGUACUAUUGCCCCAAUAGAGCCUUUAAAUAGAGGUGGAC
rnacentral:lncRNA from 1 species